rnacentral:rRNA from 1 species
GACGUAGGGCGCGAGCGUUGUCCGGAUUUAUUGGGCGUAAAGAGCUCGUAGGCGGCUUGUCGCGUCGGCUGUGAAAUCCCGUGGCUCAACUGUGGGCGGGCAGCUGAUACGGGCAGGCUGGAGUUCGGUAGGGGAGACUGGAAUUCCUGGUGUAGCGGUGAAAUGCGCAGAUAUCAGGAAGAACACCCGUGGCGAAGGCGGUUCUCUGGGACGGUACUGACGCUGAGACGCGAAAGCGUGGGGAGCGAACAGG